AACUCUUUGUUGUGCUUAAAGACUAAAUCUGUCCCUGCUGUCUUCCCUCCUUUAAUAAAUCAAAAAAACACCUUGUGUUCUUGAAAACUGAGCACUACCCCACACCCGACCCCCACUGUAAACAUCCAUGAAAAAAAAUGCUGUUCACAUGCUUGAUAAUUUGGUCACAUCCUUUCUGUCCUUCGAAUGUAUUGAACAAGCCAAUGUCAUGCUGCUCCAACAUAUUCAGCUAAUUUCCCUUCAGACCUGGCCUUCAUAUUGGAUGCAUUUUCCACCAAUUUGACUUUUCGGAGAGAAACAAUUAUCCUGCACAAUGGGCAACAUUUGUAGUAGCUUUCAAGAUUUUAUUACUUUGUUUGGGACUUGGAGUGUUCAUUAUAAUAUGGCUUUA